CUUGCUUGCUUUUCUCCUGUUCUCAUUAUCUUCUUGCUUUUGGUCUUGCGUUCUAGCCGCGGUGUUGGUUCAAGCAAGCUUUAACUGGUUUAGUUUGCAAGAGCUUUUUAACUGGUUUAGUUUCCAAGAGCUUCGAGUGAAAUUCCCGAUACAAACACCCCUCUCCUCCCGGUGUGGCCUAGUCAGCUUCUUUCCUGGCAAAUACUUGAGCAAUGUUUGGAAUAUUAUUUGACAAGCAAGGAGGAGAGAAUUAUUUUUACUGCUGUCAGCACGCGAGCAGUGGCAAAUAACUCAAGCUGUCUUCUGGAGCUGUGGCACUAGGCUUGUGGGCCGUCGUAUUUGCCCAUAACGGAGAAACUCGCGGAAUACGUUAUGUGCUGACGACCUCUGUUCUACUGCUCAAGGCCAACUCUUGACUCCUUUCCAAGUACGAUGCCACUUGGGCUUAGCGGUCCCUGCAUCAAGUGGAAUCCUGUCCGUAUCGGACAAAUUUUCAUGCACGGAAGGGCUGCCAUAGAAAACUCACCGCAGCAAGCGGAAUACUGUCGAACGUGGAAAGCAGAACGGAUUUCAUGCACAGGAAACAGUGAACGGGGCAUUCAAAUUUAUGAGAUGGUUGAUAGCAAGCUAAUUGUACUCUGACAACACUUCUUGUAUGGCAGUACGCGGCCAUAGAUGGAAACAUAUGCUUUGCAAGAUACUGUCUUCGACGGGAGGAGUACUCUCUGAGUUAUUGUCGGCUGAGCUACACUAUGGCAGAGGCUGCACAAACUUCCACAAGGUGGUCUGGAAGUGAGACAUCAUUGUAGUAAUGCUAGAGCUAUGCUAUAUUUGAAAAUGUCUUAUAUAUUUUUCUUUUGUGUAUCACUUAAUAACCACUGUAGGAGGUGCUCCAUUUACGCUGCAAGUACCAUAGGGAAAGUGUGCAAGUACCAUAGGGAAAGUGUGCUGCUCAUGAUGGGGAAAGUGUGCAAGUACCAUAGGGAAAGUGUGCUGCUCAGGAUGGGGAAAGUGUGCAAGUACCAUAGGGAAAGUGUGCUGCUCAGGAUGGGGAAAGUGUGCAAGUACCAUAGGGAAAGUGUGCUGCUCAGGAUGGGGAAAGUGUGCUAAUGGUAGGGAAAGGGUAGAAAAUGCUACUGCUGCAGGGACAUAACUAAGUAAAUUCUCCAUGUUCAGUAAACAAAUAGGCCCACCAGUGCAGAUAGACCACACUAGAGCGGAGAGACCACACUAGGGCAGAGAGACCACACUAGAGCGGAGAGACCACACUAGAGCGGAGAGACCACACUAGGGCAGAGAGACCACACUAGAGCAGAGAGACCACACUAGGGCAGAGAGACCACACUAGGGCAGAGAGACCACACUAGAGCAGAGAGACUACACUAGAGCGGAGAGACCACACUAGAGCGGAGAGACCACACUAGAGCGGAGAGACCACACUAGAGCGGAGAGACCACACUAGAGCGGAGAGACCACACUAGAGAGACCACACUAGAGCGGAGAGACCACACUAGAGCAGAGAGACCACACUAGAGCAGAGAGA